UACGUAGGGGGCAAGCGUUAUCCGGAUUCACUGGGUUUAAAGGGUGCGUAGGUGGGCAGGUAAGUCAGUGGUGAAAUCUCCGAGCUUAACUCGGAAACUGCCGUUGAUACUAUUUGUCUUGAAUAUUGUGGAGGUAAGCGGAAUAUGUCAUGUAGCGGUGAAAUGCUUAGAUAUGACAUAGAACACCAAUUGCGAAGGCAGCUUACUACACAACGAUUGACGCUGAGGCACGAAAGCGUGGGGAUCAAACAGG
rnacentral:rRNA from 1 species